rnacentral:rRNA from 1 species
ACCGGGAUGGACGUACCGCUGGUGUACCAGUUGUUCCGCCAGGAGCACCGCUGGGUAGCUAUGUACGGACGGGAUAAGCGCUGAAAGCAUCUAAGCGUGAAGCCCCCCUCAAGAUGAGAUUUCCCAGUAUGUAAGACCCCUUGAAGACGACGAGGUAGAUAGGCUGGGGGUGGAAGUGCAGCAAUGCAUGGAGCUGACCAGUACUAAUCGGUCGAGGGCUUAUCCAAAA